rnacentral:rRNA from 1 species
ACGUAGGGGGAGAGAGUUGUCCGGAAUAAUUGGGCGUAAAGCGCGUGUAGGCGGCUUGUCAAGUCCGGUGUGAAAUCUCGGGGCUCAACCCCGAAACUGCACUGGAAACUGGCUUGCUAGAGUCCGGAAGAGGAAAAUGGAAUUCCUGGUGUAGCGGUGAAAUGCGCAGAUAUCAGGAAGAACACCGAUGGCGAAGGCAGUUCUCUGGGAUGGUACUGACGCUGAUACGCGAAAGCGUGGGGAUCGAACAG